rnacentral:tRNA from 1 species
UGGGAUGUAGCUCAGUGGUAGAGUGCUUGCCUAACAUGCAUGAGAGCCUGGGUUCAAUCCAUAGUAUUGUAA